rnacentral:lncRNA from 1 species
UAUGAUGUUGGAUCAAUUGUUACCUUGGUUGCGAUUCUGAUCGCAUUUGUUGUUCCAUUUAAAUUCUUUAGCUAAAUAGUUUUAUGUUGUUUUAUGAGAAUAAGUGUGUAUGAACUCUUUGUAUGAACUUGCAUUAAUUUGGUCUUUCGGUGUUGUGUAAUGAAGAUGAACCGGCAGUGGAUGUACGACGACCGUCGCUCUCCCCAGUUCAUUAAUGGUGUGCAUAGUUUUAUUGGUGUGGCUUAGGCAAACAAGAGGGAUGGCUUUAUGUGUUUUCUUGGUGGUUGUGACGCCCUCGAUUUAAUCGUACGCUAAUCAUACACGCAAAUGCAUACAAUCAAACUCAAGGACUCACGGGAAGAUAUCACAACACAACUCUAGACACAAAUAAAACAUACAAGCUUUAUAUUACAAGCCGGGGGCCUCGAGGGCUAGAAUACAGAAGCUCGAAAAACACACGAGUUAGCGGAAGCAACAAUAUAUGAGUACAAACAUUAAACAAGAGGUGUCUUAGAGAAGGCUAGCACAAAACAAACACGAUCGAACGAGGCGAGGCCUCCUACCUGGGAACCUCCUAACUACUCCUAUUCUUCAGCGGCCUCCACGAAGAAGUCACCAUCGGGGUGGCAGGCGUUGGCAGGAAAACUCCAUCUCCCGGGCUCCAAUAUCUGGUUGCAGCAACGGAUCAAGGGGCAAAGGGGGAGCGAAGCAACGGUGAGUACUCAUCCAAAGUACUCGCAAGACUUACAUCAGAACUAUACUAAGUAUGCAUCAGUAUCAAGGGAGGGGGCGUUUAUAUGUGGACUGACUGCAGCAAUGCGAGAAUAGAGAGAGAAGACCUAUUCCUAUCGAAGACUAGCAUCUUCAGGGUCUUGCAGCAAUAGACGAGAGUAGAACAAGAUAGCACAAAUAAUAGUCAUAUUGUUGCAUCAAUAUUAAUAUGAGGUCACACACAGAGAUCCUCCCUCGACUCCCUACGAGGAAGCAAUCCCGGGACAAAUAAUUCCAGUUAAGUAACAGUUGUAGUUGUAUAAGAUCAGGGCACAACUCCAAGUCGUCCUGUAAUCAUGGACACGACUAUCCGAAUAGUUCAUUUCUUCCCUACAGGGGUGCACAACAUAUUCCAGACGCGCUCGAUAACAAUCUCAUCGGACACACUUUUCUGGGUCAUGCCCGACCUCGAAAUAUCGACAUGUGCAGCCCCAUCUAAGCUCAACACAGAGGCCAGCCCGCCGGUCUAACUCUUGGUUCGUGGCCCACUUGCCCUCUGCGCUCCUGCACGAUGCGUGGGCGGCCGACGUCAGUGCUAGCACCUCUUAAUAACAAGCGCGAUGCAUCUCGGGACCACUCGGGCGUGCGCCGCUCCAUUGCUGACGUUUGAAAAGCUUCAGCUCAUACCACGACGCCGAGUACCCAUAAUUAUUCCCAAGCAGACGGUUAGUGCGUAAUAAGGCCUUCCGACCAACCCAGAUCAAAUAUCCAAAUCCAUUAACAUUUUAAUUAAGUCAUCGACACAUCCACGCGGGAAUCCACCCACCUAAUAUCUAUACAUCAAAGUAACAUGGUCAAGUAACUGUGUGGUUAUAACAUCGGGGGAUCCGAGGUAUCAUCCUAGUUGGAUGCCGAACGAUGUAACCGUCAAGGUGGACCUGGAGGAAUCACCCUCGAGGGUCUCACACUUGAGGGGUUGUACGACAGAGGCAUCGUCGGGAAUGGUGAAGGAGGAAUCAUCCUCGAUAACCACGACUGCCUAGCUGUACUACAAAGCUAUCAUCUGGAGUACUUCGGGAGGUGUCACCCUCGGUACUCGAUAGUAGCUCUGUAGCGUCGCACAACUAAGGGGGGUGUAAGUGAUGUGUGGGAUCUGGCUCGUUGAUCUGGGAUCGAGACUAGACAAUAAAGCAGGGCAACUAGACUAAAGGGGUCAAAGGGGAUGACUGGUCCACCUAUAAUAAACAGUUUAAAGUUACAGUAUUGAAAGUACCAGUUCAUCAAAAAUAGGCUAUGCAUCAGAUAUAGGAGCUAACUACAACGGUAACAAAAUUCUAAUGCAAGCAUGAUGAAGAAAGAAUAGACGAUAUAGGAAUGAUUAAGGGGGUUUGCUUGCCUGGUUGCUCUGCAGACAAAACGGAUCCUCGACCGGGAAGUAGUCGAUCACCGGAUCAUCAUCGACCUCGGGGUUUACCGGUAAGAAGAGGGGGAAGAAACAAUAAAUAACAGCAACAGGUGCAACACUAAGCAUGACAUGGCCAUAUGCAGACUAAGCAUGAGCUAAUACAGCAACACAUGUCGAAGACGGGUCGGAAGAAUAUCUAACGAUAUUUUCCGGGUCUCUGGCUACUACCGGUCAGAUGAAAAACGAUGAAAAAGUUCCACGUUUGCCCUGCUAGGGACACGUGACAGAUGAACGGAUAACGUAUCCGGGUUCGUCUCGUUUUUCUGAUCAACUUUCAUGUAUAAAUUAUUUUCAUCUGACUUACGGGUUUUCCUGUUAAUUUUCAAUGUUUCAAUGGUUUUUUGAAAUUUCUAGAUUUAUUAUAAUUCGAGUUGACCCAGUCAAUUUGACUGGUGAGAAAAGGAAAAGUUCCUAUCUUUUUUCGUUAACGCAGAGCAGUCAGAUAACGAACUGGAAACCUUACUUUAGUUCAUUCCUUUUACGCACUUAGUCAGAAAAACUAGGAAGUACUGAAACUGAUCCUAUUUCAGAUCUGGAAUUUCAUUCCAACUUAGGCCGUUUGGAAUUGGCAUAGCUUGAUCUAUGAACUCUCGGCACGUACGACAGUUGCUUCGACAAACAUUUGGUAGACUAGCUUUCGAAGUGCCAUUAAGAUCCAGAGAGUGGGGUGGCCCACAUGUCACAUACACCUAUUUUAUAUGAUGAUUAUAAAUAAACAAGAGGCCCAAUGGCAUAUAUAGAUUAUAACUAAGCAAAUAAUUAAAAACUAACCUAAUUAAAUUGGCUUCACAUGUCAUACACACAUUAGACUAACUAUAUUAAACAACUAAACUAUAAUCUAGGUAACCUAAGUAGCAUUGACUAAUAAGUAGACACUAGCAAUGUGGCACACCGGCCACACACACAGCACACACACACGUUUUGCACACACGGGGGCUACGCAUCCAAACACACACACACGUUUGGCACACAACACAAAGGGACAUCUAGCCAUGGCCAGCCCCAAGCAGCAGCAUAGAACGGCAGCGGUAGCAAGCUUCGGCAGUUUGGGCUAGACGCAACAUUAAUAGACAGUAGUAGCAGUAGUGAGCAGCGGCAACAAGCAGCAGCGAGCACGCAAUAGCAAGCAGCGCAGCUAGUAGCAGCAGCGUCAGAGCAGCAGUUUCAGCAGCAGCGACAUGAGCAGCAGCAGGAGCGGCUGGAGCAGCCAGCAGGAGAAGCAGCAGCAGAGGCGCACGGUCGCGGGAGGCUGCAGAGCAGCGACAACAGGCAGCAGGACCUCUAGCGGCAGCCAGCCGUGGAACGCAUGCGCGCGGCAACUCGCGGGCGAGUGCGCGGUCUGACAGGCGUGUGCGAGCGGCAGACGCGGACGGCGAGCUUCGGCCACGACGGGAAUGACGGCUACGUGCACAGAUUCAAGAGGGAAAGAAGGGGGACGGAACGAGGAGCUCACCGCAAGCUCGGAGGUGAGGUCGGGGAGGCCGGGACGACCCGGAGCAGUGGGUACUAGCGACGAGAUGCGGUGGCUAGGGCGAAGAUGAUGAUGUCGACGGCUACGCGCUGUCCCGGCUUGAGCAGGUCCGCGGAACGGACGGAUCCGGCCACGGCGGACCUUCUAGAUGUGCUCCCUCACGCUAGAGAGUUCGUUGGACGCGCCAACGAGGGCGAGGCAGAGGUGACCACGUGAGCUCGUGAGCUCGAAUUCAAGAAAGAGAGGUGGGGGGAACAAAGGGGAUCGAGGGGGUGGCAGAGGGCGAUUUAGGGUUUUCGGGCGACGUAUUUGUAUGUCCAAGGGGCUACGUGGUGGCCAUCGAGCCGUGGUGGCUG